rnacentral:lncRNA from 1 species
CACAGAUUUCUAUCUCUGAUUACACAAAUUUGUUUGUUUGUGAGUGUACAUGGUUGUCUUUCCUGUUAUACGUCACGUGCAGACUUAAGGUGUGUUGAGACGGACGUGCUGUGGGCUCCUGGAGUCAGGUAAAAGGCCAGGUAACAGUGAGUGGGUUAGGCCACAUAGUACUGUUGUCCAAAAUUUUGUUUUUUUUAAUCUUUACUAAUCACCAUUCCUUAGAGGUACAUUAACAUGAACAUGAUUACUAACCACUGAUUUACAUUUUAGUGCUGAUUUACAUUUCCGUUUUUUUUAUAGUACCUUUGACCAGUUGAUUUUAACAGUGAAAAUUAUGUUUGUGAUUAUCAAUUCUUUGAUUUAUCCUACUGGGCUAUAACCAAUUUUGCCCCUGUCCUGACACGAGUAUUUACAGUGAGGAUUCACUGAUACCAGUUAGGGUUUCUUUCAUUUUUCUGCUUCUCGCAUCAUCCCUUUUUGCAUCUUACACAGUCAGGGCUGCAUCCAUUUCUUCACUUAAUGGGUAAUUACACUUAAAACUAACACAUAGUACAAAAGGCACUCAUAGAGUUAGGUUUUUAUUAUUUUUAUUUCUUUGAUGACAUGAAAUGCACUUUUGUCGUGUCUACAUUGAAGUGCCUACACUGUGCUCUCUCUCCUCUGUUGAGCUUGUGAGGAUCCUGCGUCCUGGGGGUGGAUCCGUGACUCGUCAUCUGCAUCGACUACUCCUGAGGGUGCUCCGGCUCGUUGGCCUUGGACGACUGUGGUUCCGGCGUGGCUGCUGGGACACCUCAUUCGUUGGGUUUACUGUCACCCGCUCUUCCCUUUUUGUGGAUUACGAUAAGUACUCUUACAUAAUUCAAUUUUUAUUUGGAAUAUUGCCCUGCCUGCGGAUACAACAAUCGAUUUUUAAUUGGAAUACUACCCUGUUCGUGGAUACGUUCAAGAUUUGCUCCUGCUUUGCUUUAUUGCCCGAGUGUGCGAGACUGUUCUCCGGCGUGGGGUUCGUGCCUCACCACAGAUGGCUGUUCCCUUGGGAUCGCAUCCGGUUCUGUUGUCAAGAUUCUUCAUAA